ACUAAAACUAGCCCAGCUCCACUCUCAAAUAACAAAUCCAUACACACCCUAAACCAAACCAUUUACCACUCGACAAUAGUAUAGGAGAUAGAAAUUUCAAUAGGCGCUAUAGAGAAAGUACCGUAAGGGAAAGAUGAAAGAAUAUUUAAAAGUAUAGAAAAGCAAAGCUCACCCCUUGUACCUUUUGCAUAAUGACUUAACUAGAACAACUCGACAAAAAGAAUUUUAGUCAAUANCCCCGAAACCGGACGAGCUACNUANNAACAGNUANAAGAGCACACCCGUCUAUGUAGCAAAAUAGUGGGAAGAUUUAUANGUAGAGGNGANAANCCUACCGAGCCNGNUGAUAGCUGGUUAUCCAGAAAAGAAUCUUAGUUCAACUUUAAAUUUAUCUAAAGUACUAAAAACCUAAUGUAAANUCAAANGUUAAUCUAAAGAGGAACAGCUCUUUAGAACCAGGCUACAACCUUUAGUAGAGAGUGAAAAAGAUUAAACCCAUAGUUGGCCUAAAAGCAGCCACCAAUUAAGAAAGCGUUCAAGCUCAACACAUCAUAUCUAACUUAAUUCCAAACUUCACAAUAACCUCCUACUUACCUACUGGAUUAAUCUAUUAUUAAAUAGAAGCAUUACUGUUAACAUAAGUAACAAGAACCUCCAUUCUCCUAGCAUAAGCCUAUAUCAGAUCAGAUGCCUACUGAUAGUUAACCAAAAAGGUAAAAUUAAAUAUAACUUAAUAAAAUAUUACCCAAACCAACUGUUAACCCAACACAGGCAUGCACUAAAGGAAAGAUUAAAAGGAGUAAAAGGAACUCGGCAAAAACUAACCCCGCCUGUUUACCAAAAACAUCACCUCUAGCAUNACUANUAUUAGAGGCACNGCCUGCCCAGUGACAUACGUUCAACGGCCGCGGUAUNCNUAACCGUGCAAAGGUAGCAUAAUCACUUGUUCNUUAANUANGGACNNGNAUGAANGGCNNCACGAGGGUUNAGCUGUCUCCUACUCCCAAUCAGUGAAAUUGACCUUCCCGUGAAGAGGCAGGAAUACAAUAAUAAGACGAGAAGACCCUAUGGAGCUUAAAUUAAUUAACCCAAAUAACAUAAACACAACUAACCUACCUCUAGGUAUAAACAUUUACUAACCCUGGGUUGAAAAUUUCGGUUGGGGUGACCUCGGAGUACAACAUAACCUCCGAACAAUCUUAGCAUAGACCUCACCAGUCAAAUCNCACNCCUNNACUCAAUUGANCCAAUAANUUGANCAANGGAACAAGUUACCCUAGGGAUAACAGCGCAAUCCUAUUCUAGAGUCCAUAUCGACAAUAGGGUUUACGACCUCGAUGUUGGAUCAGGACACCCCAAUGGUGUAACCGCUAUUAACGGUCCGUUUGUUCAACGGUUAAAGUCCUANGUGAUCUGAGUUCAGACCGGAGCAAUCCAGGUCGGUUUCUAUCUAUUUAAUAUUCCUCCCAGUACGAAAGGACAAGAGAAAUAGAGCCAACUUAACAGAGUGCUCUCACUUUAAUAGAUGAAAAAACUUAAUCUAAUAUACUACCCAAUUUCCCUCCCAAGACUAGGGCUC
rnacentral:rRNA from 1 species